rnacentral:lncRNA from 1 species
AUACGACUGGCACCUGAUAUAUACUGGACAGGCCACAAAUUAAUAAGCAAGCUAUCUGUUUCAUUUAUUUCUUUUAAAAUUAAGUAAACUUAACUAAAAAUGUGAAGCAAUUAUGUUUCAAAUUUGAAAUCUUAGGUACUAAUCGUCAAAUUCUUUGCCACUUGCGCUAGAACCAGUUGGUAGUCAAAAUUUUAUUUUGUAUUGAAUAUGACACUAUUGUGGGACUAUAUUUUUUAAUUAACAUCGUACACCACCAUUACACAUUUGAAUUUAGAACUCUGCGAUAGAUAUCUCAAAAUCAGAAUCUGACUUAUUAGGUCCACAUUAUAUUUAUCACAUUGGAAUGGAUUGGAAUUAUAGGAUGAUACAUUACCUUUAGCAAGAAAGUACUCUAAAGAAUAAUUUGAUUUUGUAAAAUAUAAGAGAUCACGAUUAUUUAGUUAUGAUAUAAUAAUAUCUAUAAGAGUUAGGCUGCUAUAUUUUAAAAGUAUGAAAGUAUUCGUACUUUCAAGUUAUUUCGAUGAUAGGAAACUUGAUUCGAAAAUUGAUUUUCAUUCGACAAUGAUCUAUAGUGUUAGAAUUAUCAAAAAGCUAAAUUUUAUAAAUUUUUGACUUCGUUUGUCUAGUGAUCGAAUAACCUCAAAAUAAAUGAUUGAAAAUAAAAAUCUUAUAAAAAAUGCUAAUAAAAGAUUAAAAAUUCAAAUCAAAACUAUUUAGUUU